rnacentral:rRNA from 1 species
AGAGUUUGAUCCUGGCUCAGAUUGAACGCUGGCGGCAUGCCUUACACAUGCAAGUCGAACGCGAAAGGGGGCAACCCCGAGUAGAGUGGCGAACGGGUGAGCAAUACAUCGGAACAUGUCCUGUAGCGGGGGACAACCUCGAGAAAUCGAGGCUAAUACCGCAUACGAUCUACGGAUGAAAGUGGGGGACCGCAAGGCCCCACACUAUAGGAGUGGCCGAUGCCGGAUUAGCUAGUUGGUGGGGUAACGGCCUACCAAGGCGACGAUCCGUAGCUGGUUUGAGAGAACGACCAGCCACACUGGGACUGAGACACGGCCCAGACUCCUACGGGAGGCAGCAGUGGGGAAUUUUGGACAAUGGGCGAAAGCCUGAUCCAGCCAUGCCGCGUGAGUGAAGAAGGCCUUCGGGUUGUAAAGCUCUUUCGGCCGGGACGAAAUGGCGCGGGGUAACAUCCCGCGUCGAUGACGGUACCGGAAGAAGAAGGACCGGCUAACUACGUGCCAGCAGCCGCGGUAAUACGUAGGGUCCAAGCGUUAAUCGGAAUUACUGGGCGUAAAGCGUGCGUAGGCGGUCUCGCAAGUCCGAUGUGAAAUCCCCGAGCUUAACUUGGGAACUGCGUUGGAAACUAUGAGGCUAGAGUGCGGCAGAGGGGGGUGGAAUUCCAGGUGUAGCAGUGAAAUGCGUAGAGAUCUGGAGGAACACCGAUGGCGAAGGCAGCCCCCUGGGCUAGCACUGACGCUGAUACACGAAAGCGUGGGGAGCAAACAGGAUUAGAUACCCUAGUAGUCC